rnacentral:lncRNA from 1 species
UCUCUCACCAGAAGAGGGUUGCAGUGGCUCACACCUGCAAUUCCAGUACUUUGGGAGGCCGAGGUGGGAAGAUCGCUUGAGUCCAGGAGUUCAAGACCAGCCUAAGCAAAGUGAGAUCCAAUCUCUACAAAAAAUAAAAAAUUAGGCCAGGCGCAGUAGCUCAUGCCUGUAAUCCCAGCACUUUGGGAGGCCGAGGCAGGCAGGUCACUUGAGGUCAGGAGUUCAAGACCAGCCUGGCCAAGAUGGUGAAACCCCAUCUCCACUAAAAAUACAAAAAUUAGCCCAGCAUGGUGGUACACGCCUGUAAUCCCAGCUACUCGAGAGGCUGAGGCAGGAGAAUCGUUUGAAUCUGGGAGGCAGAAGUUGCAGUGAGCGAAGAUAGCACCACUGCACUCCAGCCUGGGCGACAGAGCAAGACUGCAUCUCAAAAUACAUAAACAAAUAAAAUAUAAAAGUAUCCAGGCAUGGUGUCAUGCACCUGUCAUCCUAGCUACUCAGGAGACUGAGAUGGAAGGAUUGAUUGAGCCCAGGAGGUCAAGACAAGCCUAGGCAACAUGGCAAAACCCCAUCUCUACAAAAAAUACAAACAUUAUCUGGAUAUGGUAGCAUGUGCCUAUAGUCCUAGCUACUCAGGGGGCUGAGAUGGGAAGAUCAGUUGAGCCCAGGAUGUCGCGGCUGUAGUGAGCCAAGACCGCCACUGCACUCCAGCAUGGGUGACAGAGUGGAACCCUAUCUCAAAAAAAUUUUUUAAAAAGAGGGUUGAUUAACAUGGAAGAAAGCAGAAGUAACCCCGAAAACAACGCUUAUUUCUGGCUUUAUUUUUCAACACAUUAUUGUUCUGGGACAUAUAUGGGGUCAUCCCCAAGGACAAGAGGAGAAACACAAGUAUCUCAAAGGGAGGAAGGGCAGAGCAGUGACAGCCAGGGGGAGCAGAAGAGACCCCAGGACUAGAAAUGGGCCAGAGACUGGCAGACCCCACAAGAAUAGAGGAUCCACGUCUCUCCUCUUACAACACCCUGGGAAAGUGACAGUGCUUUAGAGGGAAAGGACCUCAUGGCGGACACUUGGUCUCUUGCCUGAGGCUCCCAGCAUAGCCAGGCCCCCGUGUCCGACGUUAGCACAAUAGCAGCCAAGCCCCCUAUUUCCAAAAACCCAACACGUGGACACAAUGACCCUAACUCCAGUGAUCCAAGUAUAAGACUAGUGAGCCUUGCUGGGCGCGGUGGCUCACGCUUGUAAUCCCAGCACUUUGGGAGGCCGAGGCGGGUGAAUCACGAGGUCAGGAGAUCGACACCAUCCUGACUAACAUGAUGAAACCUUGUCUCUACUAAAAAUACAAAAAAUUAGCUGGGUGUGGCAGCAUGUGCCUGUAGUCCCAGCUACUCAGGAGGCUGAGGCAGGAGAAUCGCUUGAACCUGGGAGGCAGAGUUGCAGUGAGCCGAGAUCGCGCCACUGCACCACUCCAGCUUGGGUGACAGAGCAAGACUCCGUCUCAAAAAAAAAAAAAAAAAA